UCACACCAGUUUGAUCUGGUUCAGUCUGGUUCAGUCCAGUUCAGUCCAGUUUGGUCUGGUUCAGUCCGGUUCAGUCCAGUUUGGUGUGGUUCAGUCCAGUUCAGUCCGGUUUAGUCCAGUUCAGUCCAGUUUGGUCUGGUUCAGUCCAGUUUGGUCUGGUUCAGCCCGGUUCAGUCUGGUUCAGUCCAUUUCAGUCUGGUUCAGUCCAGU